rnacentral:lncRNA from 1 species
ACCAGGUGGGCACAACCCACCUGGGCGCACUGUGAUGCCCCCGAUUUGACCGUACACUAAUCAUACACGCAAACGUGUAUGAUCAAGAUCAGGGACUCACGGGAAGAAAUCACAACACAACUCUACAAAUAAAAUAAGUCAUACAAGCAUCAUAUUACAAGCCAAGGGCCUCGGGGGCUCGAAUACAAGAGCUCGAUCAUAGAAGAGUCAGCGGAAGCAACAAUAUCUGAGUACAGACAUAAGUUAAACAAGUUUGCCUUAAGAAGGCUAGCACAAACUGGGAUACAGAUCGAAAGAGGCGCAUGCCUCCUACCUGGGAUCCUCCUAAACUACUCAUGGUCGUCGUCAGCGGGCUGCACGUAGUAGUAGGCACCUCCCGAGUAGUAGUAGUCGUCGUCGACGGUGGGGUCUGGCUCCUGGGCUCCAACGUCUGGUCGCAGCAAUCGAGUAUAGAAAGGGGGAAAAGAGGAAGCAAGCAACCGUGAGUACUCAUCCAAAGUACUCGAAAGCAAGGAGCUACACUACAUAAGUAUGCAUUGGUAUCAAAUGGAAUAAGGGUAUCAUAUGUGGACUGAACUGCAGAAAGCCGGAAUAAGAGGGGGAUAGCUAAUCCUUUUGAAGACUACGCUUCUGGUAACCUCCAUCUUGCAGCAGGAGAAGAGAGUAGAUGGUAAAUUCACCAAGUAGCAUCGUGUAGCAUAAUCCUACCCGGCGAUCCUCUCCUUGUCGCCCUGUUAGAGAGCGACCACCGGGUUGUAUCUGGCACUUGGAAGGGUGUGUUUUAUUAAGUAUCCGGUUCUAGUUGUCAUAAGGUCAAGGUACAACUCCAAGUCGUCCUGUUACCGAAGAUCACGGCUAUUCGAAUAGAUUAACUUCCCUGUAGGGGUGCACCACAUUUCCCAACACGCUCGAUCCCCUUUGUCCGGACACACUUUUUUUGGAUCAUGCCCGACCUCGGAAGAUCAACACGUCGCAGCCCUACCUAGGCACAACAGAGAGGUCAGCACGCCGGUCUAAAUCCUAUGGCGCAGGGGUCUGGGCCCAUCGCCCAUUGCACACCUGCACGUUGCGAGGGCGGCCGGAGAGCAGACCUAGCAGCCUCCAUUACAAAGGAAGUUGCGUUAUGCGGCCCAACCCGGCGCGCGCCGCUCAGUCGCUGACGUCACGAAGGCUUUGGCUUAUACCACGACGUCGAGUGCCCAUAACUGUCCCCGCAUAGAUGGUUAGUGUGUAUAGGCCAGUGCCUGACUGAGAUCAAAUACCAAGAUCUCCUUAAACGUGUUAAGUAUCCGCGAACGCCAACCAGGGCCAGGCCCACCUCUCUCCUAGGUGGUCUCAACCUGCCCUGUCGCUCCGCCACAAAGUAACAGUCGGGGGCCGUCGGGAACCCAGGCCCACCUCUACCGGGAUGGAGCCACCUGCCCCUUCAUCCCCCAACUCCGAACAGUAUCAUAAGUAAUGUAACAGUAUAAAGUAUAUCGCAUAUGCCCGUGAUCACCUCCCGAAGUGAUCACGGCUCAGUAGUAUAGCAUGGUAGACAGACAAGAGUGUAGGGCCACUGAUGGAACACUAGCAUCCUAUACUAAGCAUUAGGAUAGCAUGUAAAGGUAACAACAGUAGUAGCAAGGACAUGCUAUGCAUCAAAAUAGGAUUAACGAAAAGCAGUAACAUGCUACACUACUCUAAUGCAAGCAGUAGAGAGAAGAAUAGGCGAUAUCUGGUGAUCAAGGGGGGGGCUUGCCUGGUUGCUCUGGCAAGAAGGACGGGUCGUCAACACCGUAGUCGAAAUGGGGGUCACCGGCAGCCUCGGGGUCUACUAAAAAGAAGUAACGGAGGGGGAACUGAUGAGGACAUGACUACCUUGGAUACGACCAAAAAUAUUGCAUACAUGCAUAUUUGUUAGGUGAUUUCUAAUGCAAACUAUUCAAUAAUCUAUUUAUGUUAUCCAGAACAAAAAUACUUCACACACUUUUGUGUUUUUUCUAAUUGCAGGUGUAUGGCACAUUUGUACAAUCCACAUAUGAAGAUAAGGGAAAAGGAGAAGUUUAGGUUGUGUUCAAAAAGUCCUCUCACGUCACUUUUGGGCCAAGAGAGGAUAAUGUCCAAGUCUCUCACGUUCUGGAUUCAGAUUCGGACUGCACAGACAUACCUGGCUCAAAACACCAACAACUUUUUCAUACGGACUCCGAAUUUGGUGAUUCUUUUUUUGUUGGAAACUAGAUUUCGUGCUCUUUCCAACCCAAUUGGAUUGACCUUCAAAUUCAUCUGGAGCAUUGAGUUACGGACGAAACAAUCUGACAUUGCAGCAGGAUCCGAGUCAAACUACAAGCCCAAAGGUGUUGCAUCACCUCCACUUGGGCCCAUGAGCCUUGUAAGACCUAGGGUUAGUUUUAGGCUGCCUUGGGACGUCCUCCCACCUCCUUGGCCGCCACCCCUUGCUCCUAUAUAAGUAGAUCCAUCUAGUAGCUUUUUCCUUAGGAUUUGUUUAGUUAAAAGUUAGCCAUUGCAACUUUGUGUACUUCGUUUGUGUCCAACGACCAGACCAAGACCGCUUCCGAAUCCCCACCAUUAUCAAUACUUCAUAUAUAUUUGCAAUAUUCAGAUUGCUUUAUCAUAUUUUUGCUCGUUCUUCGAUUGCUUGCAGGAAUAGACCUUCGUGGUCAGGCUGACCGUGCUUCCAGCAUCGUCAGUAACCUCAGGAGAUUGGUUUAGCGAUUGCUAAGGCGCAACGUCGUGCAUGUUUGUAGUCGAAUCGUCAAAGUCGUCUCCACCAAAUCGAUAGUUAUCAUCUCAUCGAAAGAUCGGGACCCUCGCCUCUAUCAAGUGGUAUCAGUUUUCAGGUUGCUCAGUGAGAAUUUUCAGUUUUCCUAGAUUAGAUUUAUUUUCUUACCUAUUGUCCAAGAAAAAGCCACAAAAAAGAGUUAGAUCUAUUCAUCCUUGGUCCAAGCCAGUAUGAGGCUUUGCAAUUUUCUUUUCAUUGCUUGCAUAGUAGAAUUAUCGGUUGCAUCGUCGUGUCGAGUUGCUGGUCUUAGUGUCUAGUUCGUUUAGAGUUUCGAGUUCUGUUCACAUUAGUCACGCCACCGCUGCAUCAUUAUCUCUUCCGCUGUCCAUCACCCAUCCAUCAAUUUCCACCACGUGCUACCCACCAUUCAUUGUCAUAAUAAUAGUUGAGAUCAUUCACAUCUUCGCUUAAUCCAAUCUGCAUCUUAUCUAGUUUGUUUUGGAAAGAGGGAGAAAAACAGAGAGAAAAAAACGGGAGAAAAAAAGAGAAAAAAAGUCAGAGAAAAAAGGAGAGAAAGAAAAAAAAAGUGUGAGGAAAAAAAGAGAGAAGAAAAAAAACAAAAUUCGGAUCUUUUUAGACUCAAUCUCAUAGUUGAAUUCGGAUUGGAAUCUGUUUUGUGCACUGUUCAGUAAAACAGGCAUAACUUCCUCAUACGAAGUCCGUUUUGCCUCUGCGAGUACUCAAACGAAAGCUAGCGACGAGCCGCAUAUAAAUAGUUGAAGAAGCUAGUUCAAUAUUUGGCACAUCAAAAUCGGCUUCUAAAUAGGUCUUUUUGCCCUCCGAAGUUCAUGAACACAGCUUAUUCCAGUUUUUCAGGCCAGUUUUCGAAUUUUUUGACUCCUCAUAUCAACUCGGAAUUGAGUGAUUCUUUUUGUGUUUGAAAUCUUGAGUCAAUACCAUUCUUGAAAAAAAAAUCAAAAAAUCGGCACAAACUUUUUCAGAGAAAAGUUGGAGACAAAGUUGUUGAUAUAUCCUGCUUGGCUGUUGUUUCACAUCAUUAUCUUUACUGCCGUUGUGAUCUUCACUUAUAUCUUGCUGUCCAGAGCUACUUAGUAUCCUUCAUUGAUGCUAGUUGUGCUACGACGUGACCUCAUUAGUGUUCUAGGCUCGCGUCUCUAGUUCGGUCUAGCCUAGGACUAGCACAGUACCGUCGUUGAGCGUUUAUUUAACAUUGCAUCUCUGAAUUGAUUAUUGCUAAUCUUUUGCUACCAUAUAUAGCCAACCCAGCUCCACAUAUUUCUACACCGUGUAUACGUACGUUCCCCUGGCAAUCGCUUUACACAAUCUUCAGAGUUAUUUGACACCGUUGGUUGCCUGUCACCACCUGCUGCUUGGUAAGAACUUGUAAGAUAUUGAUAUUUGCUUUACUGUGAGCGAUUUACCACCACACCCUAGUAGUUCAUAGGAACAUUAUUCUUGAAUUUUGUUUCUUGUUUCUACUAAUCAUGACAGGUUCCGAAGAUAGAAGUUCUUGGACGACGGACACAUCUUCACCAUCACGAGAGUUGGGACAACACACACAAGCACAUGGUCAGGUUAUCUUUUUACCGUCAUUUGAGGGUAGAUUUAAUCCUACUACUUAUCUAGCUUGGGAGCUUGAAGUAGAACAAGUUUUUAGUCACCGUGACUUUUCUGAACUUGAGCGAGUGCGAGCAGCCACUAGAGCAAUUACUGAUUUUGCUUCUGUUUGGUGGAGUGUACAUUGUAAGAAAAACAUUGAUAACCAACCCACAACUUGGAAAAUUUUGAAAGCUGUAAUGAGACAACAAUUUUUCCCUCCUUAUUAUCGUCGUGAAUUGCUUCGCAAAUUUGAACAAUCUAAACAAGGCAACAACAUUGUUCAUGCUUACUACCAAGAGUUCAAAUCUUAUAUGCAUCAUUGUGACAUAGAAGAAUCUGAGAAUGAUACAAUGAAUAGAUUUUUUGGUGGUUUGAACCAUGAUAUUCAGGCAAGAUUUCAGUAUAUUCCUCGUUGCAUUACUGGUAUGUAUGUCCGUGCUUGUACCUUUGAGAGACAGAUACAGGAGGAUGCAUUAGGUGACUACAACAACUACUAUUCCAGUUCAUGCUCACCACCGCCGGUGGGUUCCUCCAUCAUUGCACCUCGGAUUAUGAGCGCGGCAUCAUCUCAAGGGUAUGGUACAUUGUCAAUGUCCGUACCUACAUCAGCUACAUCUUUGCCACAAGGUAACAGUAAAGGUAUUGAUGAUAUAACUUCACAUGAGAAUGAUGCAUGCCUAGUUAACUUGAAUGCGACAUGUAUUGAGUUACCUGUUGAUUUGAGCACACCACCUAUUUUAGAUAAUCUUGUUACUGUCAUGAAUGCGUCAUGUGAUCAAACAACUGAAAUAUCAACAAUUUUGAGUGCACCCAUUGAAUUAACUGUUGAUGCAAAAGAACUAAUGUUUAAUCAUUUUGACAUGGCCUCCAAUCUUGGUGAUGAUUCUGUGUCCAAUGACUUAUUGCAUGUUUGCUUAUUUAAGCAUGUUGUAGCAUGUAAAUUUGAUGCAAGUAAGGUUUAUUCACCAAAGUUGGGAUGGUUUAAUGAUGAACAUUGCAAAUCUUUUGAAAUGAAUAAGAGCUUCACUUAUAUGUGCAAACUGAGUUCUAAUAUUUUCAUGCCUUCUACUUCUUGUGAUAAUUUUUUGGCUUUAGUUUUUAUGAACUAUAAAAGUUACUCAUGUAUACAUGUGUCAUACGUGCAAAAAUCAAGGGAAGUUAAACUGGAUGACAUAUACAUAUACAACAUGUACACCUUGUCUCUUUUGUUAGCCACAUUUCACAUUAAGCAACGCCGAGGACGGCUUUGUUUUCAAAAAGGAGAGGAUGAUGAGGACAUGACUACCUUGGAUACGACCAAAAAUAUUGCAUACAUGCAUAUUUGUCAGGUGAUUUCUAAUGCAAACUAUUCAAUAAUCUAUUUAUGUUAUCCAGAACAAAAAUACUUCACACACUUUUAUGUUUUGUCUAAUUGCAGGUGUAUGGCACAUUUGUACAAUCCACAUAUGAAGAUAAGGGAAAAGGAGAAGUUUAGGUUGUGUUCAAAAAGUCCUCUCACGUCACUUUUGGGCCAAGAGAAGAUAAAGUCCAAGUCUCUCACGUUUUGGAUUCAGAUUCGGACUGCACAGACAUACCUGACUCAAAACACCAACAACUUUUUCAUACGGACUCCGAAUUGGGUGAUUCUUUUUUUGUUGGAAACUAGAUUUCGUGCUCUUUCCAACCCAAUUGGAUUGACCUUCAAAUUCGUCCGGAGCUUUGAGUUACGGACGAAACAAUCUGACGUUGCAGCAGAAUCCAAGUCAAACUACAAGCCCAAAGGUGUUGCAUCACCUCCACUUGGGCCCAUGAGCCUUGUACGACCUAGGGUUAGUUUUAGGCUGCCUUGGGACGUCCUCCCACCUCCUUGGCCGCCACCCCUUGCUCCUAUAUAAGUAGAUCCAUCUAGUAGCUUUUUCCUUGGGAUUUGUUUAGUAAAAAGUUAGCCAUUGCAACUUCGUGUACUUCGUUUGUGUCCAAUGACCAGACCAAGACCGCUUCCGGAUCCCCACCAUUAUCAAUACUUCAUAUAUAUUUGCAAUAUUCAGAUUGCUUUAUCAAAUUCUUGCUCGUUCUUUGAUUGCUUGCAGGAAUAGACCUUCGUGGUCAGGCUGACCGUGCUUCCAGCAUCGUCACUAACCUUAGGAGAUUGGUUUAGCGAUUGCUAAGGCCCAACGUCGUGCACGUUUGUAGUCGGAUCGUCAAAGUCGUCUCCACCAAAUCGAUAGUUAUCAUCUCAUCAAAAGAUCGGGACCCUCGCCUCUAUCAGGAACACAAUAAAUAAUAGAGCAAUCAAAGCAUCACAAGGGAUAACACGGAAAUACGCGGUGCUAGAGGUGACCUAACGCAGUAGAAGGUGAUACCAGCAAAGGGUGAGAACAUCCGGGAAAGUAUUCUCGGUUUUUCGCGUUUUCACAAAAAUGAACCGGAGGGGGAAAGUUGCGUGUUCGCUAUGCUAGGGAUGCGUGGCAGAUGAAUGGGACACAUAUUAAGAUUCGUCUCGUCGUUCUGAGCAACUUUCAUGUACAAAGUUUUUUCGUCCGAGUUACGGAUUAUUUUCUAUGAAUUUCUAAAGUUUUAUUAUUAUUUCGAAUAUUAUUAAUUCGAAUUUAAAAAGGAAUUGGCUAGGUGCACACAGCAGCAGCUUAGUUUCAGUGGCUUACAAGUGGGGUCCAAUGGUUGGGUUGACCUAGUCAAGGGUGACCAGUCAACAGGGAGUGUGGCCCACAUGUCAUAGACUACACCUAAUAAUUGUAAUAGGCCUACCCAAUUAACUAAACUAAUUAAGUACAAGGGCCCACUUGGCAUAUGAUAGUUUAGCCCCUAAUCUAACCUACUACUAAUUAAAUGGACCGGCCAUUAGUUUAGCCGUGCCUCACGGCUGGGCAUGCGCAGCCACGGCCUGAAGCACACGAGGCAUCCAGGAGAAGCCACACGAGAGGUGUGCGAGCUGUGGGCAUGGCAUGCACGCGGGGCAUGCGUGGGAGGGCGCAGGGCACAGUCGAGAUGGCCAAGGCGAGCGGCACUGAUAGGGCCUUGCGGCAGGGAGCAGAGCACCAACAGGGUGAGCAGCGGGGCAACAACAAAAGAGCAGUAGCAAGCAGCCGCAUGGAGCAGGAGCAGCGGCAAGAGGAGCUGCGUGCAGCACGACAGACGGCUGCAGGCACAGGGGCAUGACCACGGGCGGCUGGGUGCGGUCACGGCGGCCGGGCGCGCGCAGGGGGCGACAGGCAGCAUCGUUCUAGAGCAGCAGCAGCGCGGUCACGCACGGGAGCUUGAGCUCCGGCCACGGCGGCGCAGCACGGGGACGGCCACAAUGGUGACAAAUCGAAGCAGGGAGAGAGGGGAUCCGGGAGGAGCUCACAGUGAGGCGGAAGGCGUUCUCGGGAAGGCCGGCAACGGGUCGGAGAGGCGGUGGUCAUGGCGGGAUGCGGCGGUCGGAGGAAGAAGACGAAGACCGCGUCGGCCACGCGGCUCCCCGGGCUGAUGAGGCGCCCAGAACGGAUGAAGACGAGGGCAGUGGACCUCCAGGACGUACUCCCGCACGCUGGAGGGGCCGGUGGACGCCUCAACAACGGAGAUGCAGCAAUGACCGUGAGUGAUUUCGAGAUCUAAUUCGCGAAGAAGAGGAGGGGCCCGAUGGGGGGAAAGAGGGGAGAAUGGAUGAGUGNNNNNNNNNNNNNNNNNNNNNNNNNNNNNNNNNNNNNNNNNNNNNNNNNNNNNNNNNNNNNNNNNNNNNNNNNNNNNNNNNNNNNNNNNNNNNNNNNNNNNNNNNNNNNNNNNNNNNNNNNNNNNNNNNNNNNNNNNNNNNNNNNNNNNNNNNNNNNNNNNNNNNNNNNNNNNNNNNNNNNNNNNNNNNNNNNNNNNNNNNNNNNNNNNNNNNNNNNNNNNNNNNNNNNNNNNNNNNNGGGGAGGGGCACCCAUAUAGGGCCAGAGGGGCGACGUGGAGGGCAUCCAUGGCCAUGGUGCCCUGGAUGUGUGCCACACAUAUGCUCAUGUAGGUGAGGUUGAAGGAGAGAUAGAUGAGCUAGGCCUAGGUAAAUUGCUAGAUGGGCCAAAGUGCACAGUAGAUUUAGGCCCUCUUGUUUUCUCUUUUUCUUUAGCUAGACAUUUUCCUGUUUAUUUAAUAUUUCAAAUUGUUUUAGUUUUGUAAAACAUAUAGUUAGCACCUAAAUUGGUAAUAGUAGUUAUACCACUGCCACAAUUAAUUUUGUAUAUAAAAAGUGGUUUGCAAGAAUUAUUUAAUCAUUUAAGAGACAUUUAAAUAAUUGUUUCAGCUCAUGUUUUACUUAUCUUAGAGCAUUUAAUUAUUUUAUAAAAAAUGUGGUUUCUUCACCAAAAUAAUGUAUGAAUUAUUUUCCGUAAACCAAACAUUUUAGUUUUAAUGUUAGAAAACUUUUGAUGUUUGCCAUUAACUCAAAUAUGAAUUCUAAUUGUUUUGAACUAACGCGAGAUUAGCAAUAGUAAUCAUGGUGACGUGGCAUCAUUAGCAGAGGUUACUGUAGCUUAAUUAUCCGGGCGUUAGAAUUCUCCUCCACUACAAGAAAUCUCGUCCUGAGAUUUAAGAGGUGGGGUAAGGGGAAAGGUUUGGUCACGAAAUUCUAGCGCAUCUUAUCGGACUUGGUUGCUCUUCUCGAAGAAAUCGAUCCAUUAUAUUGACGUCUUCAUUUGUCUGCUUCAGGUCAUCAUGAUGAAGUCGGCAUCCUUUCCUUGGGAACUCCAUCGUACGUGCGAAGGUCAAGGGGUAACUUCGGAAGAACGGGCCGCUACAAUGUUGCUUAUCUGGUAGAUAACAUCAGGAGAGGUAGCAGAACGUAACUCUCGAAUUGAUACUUAAGGAAUUAUCGAGAGCAAAGUAAGAAGGUGCAAAAUGGAAGUUUCAAGCACAUAGGCAAUCGUUUGUUGCCUGAAACGAAGUGUGAAAGGGGUUUAGAGCAAUGGGAAUACGCAUUGCGUCUGAUACCAUAAUAGAUCACGAGGCAGGUGGCCCGUGAAUUACAUACGAAGUCAAGCGCGAGGAAUAACUUUGACACUAGGGUGUACAGGAGAGUCAGGUUUCGAUCCUGUGGAACUGUGGGUUAUGGGCCCACCAUGUGGGUUAAACAUAGAAAGAGCGGUGACCUCUUGCACGGUUAUGAUAGCAAGGCAUGCCAGAGAAUAGCCUGUUAGUUAUGUCGGCAACAACGUCGGUACCAAGGGAGAGGGACAAAGAGAACCAUUUUCCUGCUCGUUCAAACGAGGCGGACCUAUAGGCAAAGUUCUCGUCCAUCGGUGGUUACGGGAAUGUCAUCAACAAUAGUAAUAGGCUCUUACAGACAGAGUUGUACACCGAGAUGUUUGCACAAGCAAGGAAUUAUUAUUGCUUAUAUCAUAUAGAUCAUAGAAACGGUUUAAAUUAACCAAUGGAAAGGGAAAAAUAUCUAUCAGAUUUAAUCAGAACAAUGGAAAGAAAAAUGUGUUUAAACACAUAUUUCAGGGGUAUAUCCUUCCCAAGGACAAGCAGGGCAUGAUAUGCAUGACAGGAUAUAACGUAGAAAACCAUUUAGGUUAGGGAAGAGGAAGUUCAUGACAUUACCCAAACAACGGUGUUUGAAUAAUUGAUAAAGAGAAUUUAGCAUUUUGCUUCAAAUGCUCUUAUUGAAAAUCGGAGUACCACAGACAUGCUUCGAGAUAGCAUUGACAUGGUCAUUGGGUAAAGAUCGGACUUUGGAAACAUAAAGGAUUCAUCAGGAACAACUUAUAGAAUAAGUCUUACAAUUUCCUCAUGGAAGAAUGGAUAACCUUGCUGAAAAGGAAUCUAUAACAAUAGGGCCUCUGGCCAGGUGUGCUAGGCACGACAUCACCUUGCCGAUUCAUAUAAAGACCAAUAUUACGACUGUUGGAAAAUGUUCCAACCAUCAUAUCCGACCGAGAUUUAGUUCAGAUUGAUGUCAGGAUACCUCAUACUCAGGAUACCUGAGAAGGAAAGGUGCAACACAAAUUGACAAGACGACAUUGUAAGAUUCUCGGUAAAUGAACUAUGGAAGCAAGUUUCGAAUCAUGAGUUCAUUAUUAAAUCAAGGAGAGAGUGAGGAGGUGGUUGAUGAACUCAGUGACAAUUCAUCGAGAUUUCCAAAAGAUGGAUUUCCACAAUUAUGUGAACAAGGAGAUAGCUUUUGUCAGUUCAAAUGAUAUAAUGAGGUAUGCUCGAGGAAACAUACACGAUUAAACAUUGGUUGACAGUGCACCCGAAAUACGGACUUAGGUAGCACAAUCAAUGUUAGAAUGGCGAUUCGAUAACCAAUGGUCUAAGAAUGAAAUGUUGACCAUUAACUUCAAAGCAAUAAGGUUGCUAGAAGUUUUAAAAUUACUAGUCCAUCUGUCAGUAUUCCUGUUAGGAACAACACGGGGACCAAGAAAAGAAUGGUGAUGGUGAAGUAUCACUUAUAUCAAGAAUUCUCAAGAGGUGCUGAGAUUCUCACAACAUUCCUGACAUAAAAUAUGGUAAUACUCCAAGGUAAAGAAGAACAAUUUCUGGAUAGCAAGGAUCUCAAGGUAUAUCACAAAGCACGAACAAGUUUGUGUUGAAUGAAAGGCAAUAAAGUGGUCGAUGAUAACACAAAUCAUUGAGAGCAAAGGGUGGUAUUUCUCAUCAAGAAUUCGAUAGAUAUCUUGGAAGAGCUCAGAAUGUUGAUGAUGUUCACGACACAUUUGUGCGAGAUUUCAUGAAGAUGUAAUUGAUCGGCGACGACAUCAAGUCAAAGGAAUGAUGAGGCGAAAGAUUAUUGGAACUAAGAGUAUGACACAAACUCGAAAUCAAGCUUGGUGUUCAAGGCGAAAUGAUGCGAUGAUGAAGAUCGGCAUAAGGUUAGCUCAUCGUCGAAAGUUGUGCUUCGGGAUUAAGGACCAGGUAGCAUAGUUAAAAAGUUGCAUGAUAAUGAUAUAGCCGAUCAGGCUAGGAAUGACUUGAAGGAUUAUUAAAUCAUAAGCAACGAAAAUUACUUAGAGUUAUUGAAUCGGAGUGCGGAAUCGAUUCACUUAUCGGUGUUCUCGAGUGACUAAUAACUCAAAACCCAAGAGAAAUCGGAAUCGGCGAGAAUAAUAGUUGAUGAAGAACUCAUAAGAAGUUAUGUAGUUCCGUGAUAUUCUCAAGAUAACAGAGGGUAUUACUCGGUAGAGUAGAAUAGAGGUUGGACAGGUGUAUUAUCCUGCAGAAGACAAGUACUUCAACUUGUACGAGAAUGUGAUCAAAGAAGAACAAUAUGGUCGGAACCACGAUCGGAAAGGACCAAACAUAGAUACAGGACGAACCUAUAACAAGGGGAUUAUUAUCAUUACAAGAAGCUUCGAUGAUAAGUUUCACAUCGGGUCCAUGGGCAUGAACACAAAGUUCAAGGUCGACUCCCACUUCUCCAAUGCAUAACCUUUCAUUCACUUCACAUUUUCGAAGAAGUUGUAGUGUUGAAAUUUUAUCUAGUGAAGCACCAGAAGAGUACGACUCGUGAAAACUUUCGGGUUCACACGGUUUAGAAAAGGUAUAGAUUCAACCCAUCAGGGUAUCUUAGAAACAUAUACCACAAGCUUCAAGAGUAAAUAUCACCAGCUCGAAAGCAGAGCAAGGUUGAGAAAGUAGAGGAUACAAUUUACCAAAGGCAUUAUGUAUCCGAGGGAAGGCUCACAAGGUUAUUGGAUAUGAAGGACACUGUCGGAUAAAAUCCAUUAAAGGAUCUGCCGGUCCAUAACAGAGCUGAUGUGAGCAUCGGCACACAACCAGAGGAAGUAAUAAUGCAAAGGCAUUGGAUUAUAGAAACAACUGACUAAUCCAGAGCUCAAAUGCAAAGGAAUUGUAAUUUUCAAAUCAAGGGAUCAGAAGCAAUGUUCUAAUUAGGGAUGGAUAGGUUGAAUAGCCUUAGGGGUACAAUCGACGGCAAUCGGAUUGGUUGAGAACCAACUCAGUCUGAGCCGGAAAGAUAAUUUAAAAGGAUCAACUGAUGAUUGCGUGCAUUCGCACUCAUGUUGAAUCAAUAGGAUCAAAAUCACGGUGUCUAAGGAUACUAACGAAUAUUGUCAGACAUAUGGAAAGCAUCCAUAAUGCAAGUAGACAAGUAUUGCAGAGCAAUAAGCUACUGAGGAAUUUUGGAGGAUCGAAUAGUAUUUCAAAGACAAUUGUGAAACACAUGAACAAUUAGGGAUGAGCGGAUACUAGAUAAGGGCAAGAAAUUAUCCGUAGGGGUAUUCAGGUGGCAAGGAACUACAAGGCAGUAGGCACAAAAUAUUCUUGGAACAAUUGAGGGGAUUUCAGGAUAUCUUGUUAUAACAAGAUCAACUGGGAAUAAAAGUAAAAACGACAAGUGUAUGUAAUUAUCCAUAGGGAUAUUUCGAUGGUAGGGAAUUGCACAAGCAUGAGCACAAGUUAUCGGGAUAACAUCAAGAGUAUCUUCGAGGUCUACAGUUGAAUCGAGCCAUCAUCUGGAAUGAAGGGGCUCUCCGGGAGAAAGUAGAUACGAGAACCUAAAGUCAGAUUUAGUAAAAUCAUUUAACCCGAAUAGAAGAGAGAUCAGAGUCCCAGAGUAUAGAAGAGGAGUAAAAGAUCCUCAUACCACCCGAUGGCCACAUGGGCCCAUAAGCCACACAACCAUGUUAGUAAAAGUUUUGCAAUGUCUAGACUCGACUUCGGCCAAGAAGUGUGGAAGGGGGAUUCCUACAGGCAGUCAGCUCUGAUACCAACUUGUGAUGCCCCCGAUUUGACCGUACACUAAUCAUACACGCAAACGUGUACGAUCAAGAUCAGGGACUCACGAGAAGAUAUCACAACACAACUCUACAAAUAAAAUAAGUCAUACAAGCAUCAUAUUACAAGCCAAGGGCUUCGAGGGCUCGAAUACAAGAGCUCGAUCAUAGAAGAGUCAGCGGAAGCAACAAUAUCCGAGUACAGACAUAAGUUAAACAAGUUUGCCUUAAGAAGGCUUACACAAACUGGGAUACAGAUCGAAAGACGCACAUGCCUCCUACCUGGGAUCCUCCUAAACUACUCCUGGUCGUCGUCAUCGGGCUGCACGUAGUAGUAGGCACCUCCCGAGUAGUAGUAGUCGUCGUCGACGGUGGGGUCUGGCUCCUGGGCUCCAACAUCUGGUCGCAGCAAUCGAGUAUAGAAAGGGGG